rnacentral:tRNA from 1 species
GAGGGUAUAGCUCAGUGGUAGAGCUCUUGCUUAGCAUACACAUGGUUCUGGGUCCAAUCCCCAGUACCUCCA